rnacentral:lncRNA from 1 species
GUUUUCCUGCUGUUCUCCUGUAGGCAUUGCACAGGUUUUCGGAAAUUGUUUCCCUGCCCUUUUCACCCUCACAUUCCUCUCCUCCCAACAGACUGAGGCCAGAGGAGAAGAGCAAAGUGGAUUAGUUGGGGUUUUUUUCCUUCAGAAAUCUGGCAUCCUAUCUUUGCUUUCACACUUCUUGAUAUUCACCAUCACCAGUGGAAAAUAAAAGGAAGUUUAAAAUUCAGAGCUUGGUAGGUAAAAUAAAGAAAAACAAGAUUAACUAUGACAAUUAUGCUGAUUCUGAGGAUAAACAUUUUCCUCUUACUUUUUUCUUUUUUCUUUUUUUUUUUUUUGUAGGACUGCCUAUGGAUUCUAACACUGACUAGGCAUUUAAAAUCCUUCAUCUCUUUUUAAGUGAUGUUGGCAACCUAAUUUUGACUCCAUAUUUCCAUGAUGCUGAAGGAAAAAGAGAAAAAGAAUAAUUACAAAAAAGAAAAUAAGCAGAAAUUGUUUCAGUGAGGUGUUUUGAUCACCCCCAUGAGCUGUUUUCUUGCUGUGUUGUGCGUGACUGAAAAUCAGAAAGUGAAUCUGCUUAUUUCCAAAUGGAAGCUGACCAGACUCGUUUCAUCAGACUGCAGCAAAAAUAGCAAACAAGGGAAAAAUAAACGGAGUUCUGCAGCCACCUGUGCUAGAUCAUACAGAUAUGGGACCUGGGGGCUGUUUCUAAUGGCUCUGCAGUGGGAACAUCUUGCAAAAAGGUAAAGCUUUUCACAGUAGGCUUAGGCUUGCUGGACAGGAUUUACGUGGGGAAAGCAUGGGGUUUUGGAGGACAACAAAUUGGAAAAGGCUGAAACAAACACUUGCAUAUAACUUGUUCUGGAGUCUAGGGAGAGCAUAGGAGAGCCUCCUGUUUUGCCUGGACUAACCACCUACCCAAAUGCUCUUUGGACUCAAAAGGGGUCCUAAGGAUAAUUCCUGUCAGAGCCCAGGUGGCUCUGAGCCCAGCCCAGUAAAGGCAAGUUUUGGAGGGAUUGGCCUAUGGGGUAUGGAAGCAUAGAAGGCAGGGCUGGAGGAGAGCCCAAUGAAAUAUCUAGUCCUCCUCCUGAGCCAGGAAAACUAACAUAAUGAGUAUUUAAUUGCUUUAGUAUGGGCUUUUUGUAUAAAUUGUGUGUAAUCUUCAAGUUAUGCUGUACAUAUGCAAUAAAAUUAAGCAAAUAUUCA